CCUACGGGAGACAGCAGUGAGGAAUAUUGGUCAAUGGGCGGAAGCCUGAACCAGCCAAGUAGCGUGCAGGAUGACGGCCCUACGGGUUGUAAACUGCUUUUAUACGGGAAUAACGCGCCUUACGUGUAGGGCUUUGCAUGUACCGUAUGAAUAAGGACCGGCUAAUUCCGUGCCAGCAGCCGCGGUAAUACGGAAGGUCCGGGCGUUAUCCGGAUUUAUUGGGUUUAAAGGGAGCGUAGGCCGCAUGUCAAGCGUGCUGUGAAAUGUCCGGGCUCAACCCGUGCCUUGCAGCGCGAACUGGCGUGCUUGAGUCGGCGGAAGGCAGGCGGAAUUCGUCGUGUAGCGGUGAAAUGCUUAGAUAUGACGAAGAACCCCGAUUGCGAAGGCAGCUUGCUGCAGCGGAACUGACGCUGAUGCUCGAAAGCGCGGGGAUCGAACAGGAGUAGAUACCCGUGUAGUC
rnacentral:rRNA from 1 species